rnacentral:rRNA from 1 species
GACGAACGCUGGCGGCGUGCUUAACACAUGCAAGUCGAACGGAAAGGCCCUUCUGGGGUUGCGUGCUCGAGGGACGAACGAGUGAGUAACGCGUGAGUAGCCUUCCCUUGACUGUUGGAUAACGGCAGGAAACGGGAGCUAAUACCGGAUAUGCUCUCCUCCUGCAUGGUGGUGGUUGGAAAGUUUCGGCGGUUGGGGAUGGACUCGCGGCUUAUCAGUUGGUUGGUGGGGGAGUGGCUUACCAAGGCUUUGCCGGGUAGCCGGCUGGAGGGGGUGACCGGCAAAAUUGGGCCUGGGAUCCGCCCAAGCCUCCUCCGGGGGGCAGAAGUGGGGAAUAUUGAACAAUGGGCGGAGGCCUGAUGAAGCAACGCGGCGUGCGGGAUGACGGCCUUCGGGUUGUAAACCGCUUUCGCAUGUGACGAAGCGUGAGUGACGGUACUGGCUAAAGAAGCACCGGCUAACUACGUG